rnacentral:rRNA from 1 species
UACAGAGGGUGCGAGCGUUAAUCGGAAUUACUGGGCGUAAAGCGCGCGUAGGCGGCUUUGCAAGUCGGGUGUGAAAUCCCCAGGCUUAACCUGGGAACUGCAUUCGAGACUGCAUUGCUAGAGUAUGGGAGAGGGAAGUGGAAUUUCCGGUGUAGCGGUGAAAUGCGUAGAUAUCGGAAGGAACAUCAGUGGCGAAAGCGGCGCACUGGACCAUAACUGACGCUGAGGCGCGAAACCUAGGGGAGCAAACAGG